GAUUCAAGUACCUCUGUGGUGCGGAAGAGAGACGUGGCUCUGAGAUGCCUCAUUGAAUACAUGGGAGAGAGUGGGCAAAAGCUGAUCUCUGACUACUAUGGAAAAACAGAGAACAGUGUCUAUGAAGACUUGAAAAUGCGCAAUAUGCAGAUAUAUGUCUGCCGUGUUCCAGAUGUGGUGGGCAUCAUCAUUGAGGGCAUCCCUGUGCUUACUCGUCUUGGAAACCACGCCAGGGCUAUGAACUUGCAGUAUCCACCACAACUCAGCAAAACAUUUCAGGUGUUUCAAAGACAUUUUGUGGGACUUGACACACUGCGUCCAAAGUCUUCCUCCUGAUUCAUGACACAAAAACUUCUGAGUUAGUUAAUUAGUUGCCGCUCAGAGGUUCUGUUUCUUUGCUUCAUCACUAUUGUUCAAUGGACAGUUUGACUUGGAACAAUGUGGUAGUCACGCACCGACUUCUUCAGUUUCUGGAUAAGUCUGCAGCAAAUAUGGGCAUUUGAUUUGCUUUUGUAUAUAUGGGGCAAAGUUUGUUUUGUUAUGU
ensembl:processed_transcript